AAAUUGAAGAGUUUGAUCAUGGCUCAGAUUGAACGCUGGCGGCAGGCCUAACACAUGCAAGUCGAACGGUAACAGGAAGCAGCUUGCUGCUUUGCUGACGAGUGGCGGACGGGUGAGUAAUGUCUGGGAAACUGCCUGAUGGAGGGGGAUAACUACUGGAAACGGUAGCUAAUACCGCAUAACGUCGCAAGACCAAAGAGGGGGA
rnacentral:rRNA from 1 species